rnacentral:rRNA from 1 species
UACGUAGGGGGCAAGCGUUGUCCGGAUUUAUUGGGCGUAAAGAGCGUGUAGGCGGCUUUACAGGUCCGUUGUGAAAACUCGAGGCUCAACCUCGAGACGCCGGUGGAAACCGUAAAGCUAGAGUCCGGAAGAGGAGAGUGGAAUUCCUGGUGUAGCGGUGAAAUGCGCAGAUAUCAGGAGGAACACCCGUGGCGAAAGCGACUUCCUGGACCAAUACUGACGCUCAUGUGCGAAAGCGUGGGGAGCAAACAGG